AGGAAUCAUGUGAAAUUCCAACCAUAAAACUAGACAUAGAAGAGUUCACUUUGAACUUGCAAAACUAUAUGGAACAAAGCAUGGAACUUCAAGAAGGAGAAAUGUCAAAGGCCUUGGUUGCUUUACAUCCAGAUGCUGCACGCAUUCCUACACCCAAGCUGAAGUAUAAGAGCAACUUGAGAACAGAGCAUUACGUGUAAGUGGGAAAACUAAUUCAUCGCACACUAUUUAAUUGGAAUUCACAAUUUUAAUACAGGAAAACAGGCUAACUAAUGAGAUGAGGAGCAAGUAAUUUAACAAGCAAAACAUGUUGUACAAUUUCAAUUUAUCAAGAAAUAUGCAGAGAUUAAUAGUUAACCACAAAGUAACAAGAAUCUCCUAUUCAAUACACUCCAGUGUUUGGCAGAGUUCUGAUGAAGCAUCGUAUCAAUCAUACUAUAUUAGUGAAAAAUUCUUGUAAAUUAUUCUGAUAUUGUGUUCGCUUUCUUGCAGUUAUGAACUCCCUGAUUCACAUCCUCUUCUGAAUGGGGUUAGUUAUUUCUACAUCCACUAAACAUAAUUGUGUUUCAUUAUACGUGCCCAUUUUGUUAAUUAGUUAUUAACUACAGUGGGAACAGCGAGAACCAGAUGAUCCAGGGAAAUAUCUUCUAGCUAUAUGGACCCCAGGUGAACAAAAAUAACUUGACACCAUGUUUUUUUUCUAAAUUAGUUUGGACUAGCUGUAGUUUUUGUUACCAUUUACAGCAGUACAAAUAUAUGAUUAUUUUGGUUUGUGGUCCUUUUCAUGUUGCCAAACACAUUGUGUACAACAGGGGAGACAGCAGAUUCCAUACAACCACCAGAAAGAAAAUGCAGCUCUCAGGACUGUGGACAGCUUUGUAAAGAAAAUGAAUGUUUUGCAUGCAACAGUGUCCGUGAAGCAAAUUCACAAAUAGUUCGAGGAACACUCCUGGUCUGAAUGCUUAACCAUUCAUUGUUUAUUAUUCUUAGCACUAAUAACAUCAUGCUGGAGAAACAAAUAACUGGGUAGAGAAGCAAUUUGCAUAUGAAUGCAAAUAUUAUAAUAGGCUAACUAUAAAUAAUUUCUGAAUAGAUACCAUGCCGAACAGCUAUGGGAGGGACCUUUCCGCUAAAUGGGACCUAUUUUCAAGUCAAUGAGGUAAAAAAAGUGUUGUGGCUUAUUAGAAAUUUAUUUCGCUAAUGUGUUGCUAAAUUAAGUACUAAAAUAUAAUUUGAUGCAGGUUUUCGCUGAUAAUGACUCAAGUAUAAACCCAAUUAGUGUUCCCCGAAGUUGGAUCUGGAACCUUCGUAGGAGAACAGUGUAUUUUGGAACCUCCGUAACACACAUAUUUAGAGGUAUCUACUUAAAAAAUAUGUUACUAAAAUAGAUAGAUAUCAAACUAUUAUACUACUGAAUGCGUAUUCUUUUGUCAACCAGACCUAUCAACACAAGAAAUUCAACAAUGCUUCUGGAGAGGUAAGAUUUAUCUCACAGAAUGUAAUCCUACUUAUUGGUAUUCGAUAUCCCAGUUCAACUGGUUCUUUCUUUUAUAAUAAGCUCCAUUAGAUCACAGUCUUUGUAGAAACACUAAGUGAGCAAUAUUACGCACUUGUAUGACUUUAUAAGAAAAUAUUACUCAUUUGUAUGACUUUAUCUACUCAUCAUAUGAUGGAUGUCACAAUCAUGACUCAUCCAUAGAAGGACAAUGGAAUAUGUAGGAAUUUCAGUGUAUGUGACAUCCAAUUUUACAAAUCCUACUGAAGUUUGAAUUGAAAGCACAUUAAUUUAUUUUUUUUACAAACAAGGCCGGAGACAUCAUCAUUCCAACAAAUUAGAAGCAUGACUUACUUCACGAGUGAUUAGAAAUAUAGUUUAUUUAUUAUAUAUAGUAUAAUAGACGUUUAAUGAUAAGUCAUUUGACAACCUAUAACCCAGACAAAUGUAUGUUGUACACAUGUACUUACUAGUAAAGCCACCCAUGUAGCUUACUUCCGGCGGCACACCCCUUAUCCAGGAGUCAUAACAAACUGAAAGUCCGAAGUCAUGAUUGAUAGCAACUCCCUUUGGUAGCAAUUCCCUUUUGCCUAAGAACUCUGACCGAUGUCUUUUUUUCAAUAAUCUAGCAAGCAACCAUAUUUAUCACCAUCAUAUAUUAUAAUACACGUUUAAUGAUAAGUCAUUUGACAACCUAUGACCCAGACAAAUGUAUGUGGUACACAUGUACUUACUAGUAAAUACUUCCGGCGGCACACCCCUUAUCCAGGAGUCAUAACAAACUGAAAGUAUGAAGUCAUGGUUGACAGCAACGCCCCUUGGUAACAAUUCCCUUUUGCCUAAGAACUCUGACCGAUGUCUUCUUUUUUCAAUAAUCUAGCAAGCAACCAUAUUUAUCACCAUCGUAUAUUAUAAUAGACGUUUAAUGAUAAGUCAUUUGACAACCUAUGACCCAGACAAAUGUAUGUGGUACGCAUGUACUUACUAGUAAAAGCACCCAUAUAGCUUACUUCCGGCGGCACACCCCUUAUCCAGGAGUCAUAACAAACUGAAAGUUUGAAGUCAUGGUUGACAGCAACUCCCCUUGGUAGGAAUUCCCCUUAGCCUGAGAACUCUGACCGAUGUCUUUUUUCUCAAUAAUCUAGCAAGCAAACAUGUUUAUCACAAUCAGUAUAGACAUUUCUUACAAGUGACACUAUAUGCUCUUCGCAUAUUGGAAAAUUUAAACACACAUUUCAAUUCUCGCAAUAUUAUAUAUAUCCAGUGUUUUUUACAUACCAAAUUAUGUAUCUGACUGCCUGUGUUUCCUUUCUUCCUUUUUGUAUGGAGCAAUGUAUGAUACACACCAAAAAACCUCUAAACUCACUACUCAAAUUUGCUAAACGAAUUAUUAUUUCUAGCUUUUAUUUUAGCUAUAAGUUAUUUCUAGAAGACUGAUUUAAAAGGCAGAUUUUUUCCUAAUACGAGGACUGCAAACGUUAACCUACAAGAUAGGCAAGUGAGUAUAUAACCUGACAUAUUUAAAAGGGCAAUUUAAAUGUUUUGCAGGAUAUGUUUGCGUGCGAGGAUUUGACAGGGAAAGAAGAGCGCCUCGGCCUCUGUUGGCUAGAUUGCACAUCCCAAUUAGCAAGAAGCCUAAGGAUCCUAAUGCUCCUAGGAAGCCUAGGAAGCCUAAGGAUCCUAAUGCUCCUAGGAAGCCUAGGAAGCCUAAGAAUCCAAAGAAUAAGGACAACACCCAAAAGAAGUCCAAGCCGGCAACACAAUCUAAAAAGAAACAAAAACAGCCAUAAUUGUUUUCCGGCAUUCAGGAGGGCGGUGAAGCCUGGAGACCGACAAAUGUUAUUCAAUAUUCAUCAUGUAUCCUGUGUAUUAUAGCAGAGCCAUGGUCAUGCUAAAAUACUUGACAAUUCUCAGAUUAGGACUAGGACCAAGACAGUAUAAUGGUUUCAAAUUUGCUUUUCAGCUCCGUGAAGAUCGAAGAUGUGUGUGAGGCAGGUGAAAUGAGGCUACUUACGCGAGAACAAAGCACAGUUGCACUCAUCAACAUUCUUCUACAUUUGAAUUUGUAUGACUUUAAAUUAACUAGUUCGUGUUGUAGUAUUUAUCAGAUUUAAAACUUCGAAUUUCAUUUCUUAGUUGCAUAAAUGUGUCAUGUUUUACAAUUCUUCAAUUUUCUAGAUCUGUUAACAACAAACUAAUAUCUUCAAGUUCAAAAUCAAAAAAAGAAUCGUACGAUCCCAUGAAUUGCGACGAAGGCAUCAUCAUGAAACCAAACCGACCCUGCCGUAACAUUUAUAAAAUCGAAGCUUUGGAACGACAAUAGAAAAAAGCGAAAGUAUAUAAAGAGCUUUCAGAUGAAGAAGAAUACCUCUUAGGUCUUCGUCCUCAGAAGCAGAAACUGGAAGAGUGACAUGCUUAGAGAGUGAGAGGAGCAAGGUAAAUAGAUACUUGCAGGGUGAGAAGAUGAAGGGAGGUGAAGAGGUAUUUAUAGAACCCUUUUUUUGCCGCCUUACCCAUUCUUAUUUUUAUUCCCUCCCUUUUUUACUUCUAACUUUGUUUGCCGCCUAGCAAAG
rnacentral:lncRNA from 1 species